AUCCAUCUGACGAAUCCCAAAUAGAACGAAACACGCGUCCAAUUAGAU
rnacentral:hammerhead_ribozyme from 1 species